ensembl:lncRNA
CGGCCCCGCACCUGCGGCCGUGCGCCAUAUAUGGGGCAGCACCCGGCGCCGGCUCGUUCCGUGCUGCUGCUGUUUGUCUGGGAAAGGACAAUGCUGAUGGACUGCUGUGGAUAAAUGAUGUUCGUUCUGCACCUUGAGGGUGGGAUGCUGCCUUGCACAGAGGUCAUGUCUUCCUCCACAUCCAGCACCGAUGGGGCUGUAUGGAACACCACACCAAUGGACUGCUGUGCCAACAACAUGUUGGGUUGGAGGUAUGCAAUUGCCAUCUGGGUACAGUCCCUGUGGCCAAACCCAAUGGCGAUGUAGGACACAAGGGUGGCUGCCCAUCGCCGCUCCCUCCGGAAAGGAGCCAGACAGGAGAGAAAUCACUGCUGUCCAUGCCCCAAAAUCAAGAUGUGAAGUGGACAAGGCUCUGUUCUGCUGUUCCCUCUGCUGAGAUGUCAGAAGGACUCCCCAGGCAUCCAUCCACACUGAACACCUCCAUGAGACCUCUCUGCCCCAGGAAGCAGGAAGAUGCCUUUAUAUGUCCCCUUUUAGCAGCUGCUGCAAACUUCUUUUAUGCUAAAGCACGUGGAGCCGCGUUGAUUUAUUUAGCAGCGUCUCUGGAGGCUUCUUCAAGGUUAAGAUGUAGACAUCGCAUGUUAGGCUGGGCUGAAUGCUGGCAGGAAAAGACAUUUGGCUCUUCUAAUUGGAAAAACACGCCGCUUUUAUCACCCCGAGGCCAAGCCUCUACCACAGCCACACAGCACAGGGGAACACAGCGGCUCAGCCCUGGGUCCCCAGAAAGGAGCACCGUCCCCUCACUGCCCUCCAGGUCAGCCCCGGUGGUGCACCCAUCCCUGCUGAGUGCUCAGCACCGGUCACGGAGCUGUCAGCCACGCUGUGCCUCAGUUUCCCCACUGCUGCUGGCUGCCAUGGGCUGCGUGCUGAGUUUCGGCGCAGUGUGUCUAAGAAGCCCCUUCCCCAUCCAUCUCGGUGUUCCCACUGCACAACACGGAGCACACCCACUGAUGAAGGCACACAGCAUCCUCAUCUGGCCGGGCUGCCUCAGCCACGUCGGUACUCAGAGCUACAGAUACAGAGGAAAAAAAGCGAUUGCAAAGCAGAAAGGACCGUUUUGGGGGUACAUUUGGCAGUGAAAUCAGAGCUCGGGCUGGGAACCAGCAGGACAGCCUCCCUGCAGCCUCCCUGCGAUGCUCUCCAUGCACCGAACCCCGCACCACUCCUUCCUACACCAUCCCCCCGCUCACACCAAUGACUUUUAUUUUCGUACACGAAAAAGAAAACGCACAACGGAUUGGGAGCGUUAUUUUUCUGAACGCCACUUCGAAGAGUAAAAAUCUGAAAGCGUAAAUCCGGAGCAUCGUGGCAAAAUCCGGGCUCGGUUUAAAAACUAAAAGGGUUCUGCGAUUGUUUCUUUUCGUUUGUGAAAUAAUUCAACCCUCACCAAUAUUCCGGGCAGACGACCGCCGUUUAAUCUCAGCGGUCGCACAACGAACUGAGAUUCCGAGGGGGUGAGAGCGUUCGGCGCAACGUAACUAUCAAAUAUCCCCCGAAGACUUAAAGCAAACCACACGUGGCUGCUUCUCUCGCUGCCCCACUGCCCGCAGCCAUCGGUGCAGGACGGAGGACCGCAGCGCUUCGCAGUGCCAUUAAGCAUUCGUUAAAACAUUUACUCGAUGGGCCGUAACAAAGCGCCGGAGCCGCGGGCGCACGCAGAGACUCCAUCGGACGGUUCUGCGGUGCAAAACCGUCGCGUUCAGAGCCGCGCAGCCCUCAGUCCCCUCUCAUCGCACCUCUCUCGGGCAGAUGCUGGAGGUGGAAGGGCUGCAGCUUACCCCGCUUUCUGCCGUCGGUUCUGGGCGUUCCGAUUUCGGGUUCCCCUCUCGGCCCGGAGCGCAGUGCCCGGCCCGUGGCAUCAGAGCCUGAGGGAUGGAGGGGGAAAGCAACGUGAGCCAGAAGCUCGCAGCGAGGUCUGUAAGUCCUUGUAUGGCAGAAAUAAACGUAUUACACCGUUAUUAGAGAUUUGGCGCUGGCCCUGUCGAGAAGCCCGGCUUUGGUGCUCUGCGAUUCCUCCCGAGAACAGAACUCAGCGGUUGCUCUCCGUACUCGCCGCGUUUUCUCUGGCCAAAUCCUGCCACCUUUUCUCAGCCCUCAGCCAUUCAAACCCGCAGCGGCGGUGCGAACCGCUGCGCUCCCGCUGCAGCCGACAGCUCCGUGCCAAAGCGCACGGCCGCGGCUCCCCACCCCCCGUCGGGGCGGCCGUCGGGGCUGGCAGCUCCGCGAGGUUCAUCGCAUUUGGGGGGGAAAAGAAACAAUAAAGGAGAGCCGCACCGGCAACGGCUGCGCGGCAGGGCAUCCCCGCAGGUAGCGCGCAGCCGCAGCCUUUUCGGGUUUUGUUUUGCUUUGUUUUGUUUUUCUUCUUCUUCUUUUUUUUUAUUUUUCUUUCCCCCGGCCCGCGACUGUAAUUAUUAGAGAAAAGCGACAGUGAGCUUUUAUUAAUCGACGGUGUUCGGGGCCAAGGCAUGAGCUCGGUGACAGUGAUGAGUGGUGUGGAGAGCCGGUCUCUGGAAGCAGGGCUUAUCCUCCCCCCUUUGCCUGCUCCCUGGACUCGGCGAUGAUGAGCCACGAAUAGGAGCCACCCUGCCGUCGGGGAUCCGGCCGUUUAUCUGCCGGGUGAUGACAGUCGGGGUGGAUUGGAGCCUCGCCGUGGAUUGCCGGAGCCUCUUGGAAGCACCGCGGAUACGGGGACGCUGAGGUGGCGGGAGCGGCCGCGGCCUCUCCCAGCCCGGACGGCCCCGGCCCCGACGUUGCGGUCGGAGAGCCGCGGGGCGCUGACCGCUGUGCGCAGGUGGACGGCGUUCCGGGCACGGACAGCCCCGGCCCGAGAAAGGCCCGAAGCGGCCCCUCUUCUACAAACGGGGAGUGCCGGGGCUGGAGGGGAGGAGGGGGGGACUUCGGCUUUGUUUUAAUCAAAUACUCCCCACUCGGGAUCGCCCCCCCCCCCCACAGCCGUUUUUGCUUGAGAGACAAAAACUGCCCUGAACGUAGGAAAGAGGAGGAAACGCCCGUGAUUGCAGCUGCGGGAGGAAGGGGUGGAGGGAGGCAAAACCCAAACAAAGCCGAGCACCAGCACACAGCCGACACCGAAAUCGUAUCACCGCGCAGCCGCUGACCCCGGGCAGAGCCUCGGGCAGAGCCACGAGCCCGGCUCCGAGGUUCGGUACCCCUCACCCGACCCCCCCGGGCUCACGUCGGGGUCCGCUCUCACCUGCCGUCAGCUCCGCGCUGCUCCCCCGCCCGCACGGCCCGCUCUGCCCGGCCCUGGUCGGUCUUUCUUUCUAUUUAUAUAUUUAUUUUUCCUGUUUCUUUCCUUCUUUCUUUCUUUCUUUCUUUUUUUUUUUUUUUUUCCCAUUUUUCCGUACGAGCGGAGAAAAGGUUCAUUAAGAGGUUGACCCCAGUUUACUUUUUAUUCCGCUCCUGUUCCCAAUUUCGGCACCACGUGAUGGUGGGAGUGAGUUUAGGUUGAAAUUCACUUUUAGGAAAAGAAAAAAAAAAAAAAAAAAACAACCGUAUUUAAAAAACCAUAAAAAACGAAACUCCUGCCCCGGAAAGGCCUGAUGGCCCAUGGCUGCAGCCCGCUGAGCCCGGUUUGGGUAAGCGGCCUCUGGUUCCGGAGGGGCUGUGCGAUAUAGGCUGCUUCAGAGCACUGCGGGUUGUCGCGACAUGGGGUAGCACAUCCCUAUGGGUAUGCGUUUCGGCUGCGGGGGGGUGCGAGGUGAACGGGAUUGCUUUUGGUAAUCGCGAUAGCAGAGAGAUGCGAUCCAUUGAGUCGCGACAGCCCUCGGUGACCGUCUAUGCUCCCUGGGUUUCUCCCGGCGGUGGGAACCCCGAGAAGGCCGCGGUCAGAGCCUGUGGGGGCCCCGGCCCUGUGCUGUGCGCCACCGGCACAGCAUCCCCGCCGCAGCCGCUCUCACCUCGGGGCAGUGCCGGAGGAGCGGCCCGGGCCCUGCAGCCACCGCUUCGUCUGUGCCGUGUGCGGGGGCACAGCGUGUCCCCUCCACAGCGGGCGGUCCGUUGGGGAGACCCGCACCUCAAAUCCGUCCCUAUUCCCCCACUCGGAGCAGCAGGGACGAUUCGCAGUGCAGCAGGGCCAGAGGUCUCACACCCGACCCCCGACCCGUGGCCUCUGUUCUGCAGCCCCCAGCUCUCCUCCACCCGCAUGCAGGGAGCACCGGGCCCGCCGGGGUCUGGAGGGGUCUGCGGGGCUGGGGGUGCACCCUCCUUCCCCGGUGCCUCUCCGCAGCGAGACGCAGCCCGGGCGGCCCCACUCGCCGCAGGCCCCGUGCAGAGCUAAGCAGAGGCCUCGGGCCGAGCCCGGUGCGCCGUGAGCCGGUGCUCG